GAUGAACGCUGGCGGCGUGCCUAAUACAUGCAAGUCGAGCGAAUGGAUUAAGAGCUUGCUCUUAUGAAGUUAGCGGCGGACGGGUGAGUAACACGUGGGUAACCUGCCCAUAAGACUGGGAUAACUCCGGGAAACCGGGGCUAAUACCGGAUAACAUUUUGAACCGCAUGGUUCGAAAUUGAAAGGCGGCUUCGGCUGUCACUUAUGGAUGGACCCGCGUCGCAUUAGCUAGUUGGGGAGGUAACGGCUCACCAAGGCAACGAUGCGUAGCCGGCCUGAGAGGGUGGUCGGCCACACUGGGACUGAGACACGGCCCAGACUCCUACGGGAGGUAGCAGUAGGGAAGCGUCCGCAAUGGACGAAAGUCUGACGGAGCAACGCCGCGUGAGUGAUGAAGGCUUUCGGGUCGUAAAACUCUGUUGUUAGGGAAGAACAAGUGCUAGUUGAAUAAGCUGGCACCUUGACGGUACCUAACCAGAAAGCCACGGCUAACUACGUGCCAGCCGCCGCGGUAA
rnacentral:rRNA from 1 species